AGUGGCGGACGGGUGAGUAACGCGUGAGAAUCUGCCUUCAGGAGGGGGACAACAGUUGGAAACGGCUGCUAAUACCCCGUAAGUCUACGGAUAAAACGGUUAAUUCCGCCUGAAGAUGAGCUCGCGUCGGAUUAGCUAGUUGGUGGGGUAAAGGCUUACCAAGGCGACGAUCCGUAGCUGGUCUGAGAGGAUGAUCAGCCACACUGGGACUGAGACACGGCCCAGACUCCUACGGGAGGCAGCAGUGGGGAAUUUUCCGCAAUGGGCGAAAGCCUGACGGAGCAACGCCGCGUGCGGGAGGACGGCCUGUGGGUUGUAAACCGCUUUUCUCAGGGAACAAGAUCUGACGGUACCUGAGGAAUCAGCAUCGGCUAACUCCGUGCCAGCAGCCGCGGUAAUACGGAGGAUGCAAGCGUUAUCCGGAUUUAUUGGGCGUAAAGCGUCCGCAGGCGGCUAAUCAAGUCUGCUGUUAAAGGCCGAGGCUUAACUUCGGUUGAGCAGUGGAAACUGAUUAGCUAGAGUGCGAUAGGGGUAGAGGGAAUUCCCAGUGUAGCGGUGAAAUGCGUAGAUAUUGGGAAGAACACCAGUGGCGAACGCGCUCUACUGGGUCGCAACUGACGCUGAGGGACGAAAGCUAGGGGAGCGAAAGGGAUUAGAUACCCC
rnacentral:rRNA from 1 species